AAGAUUGAGUCGGACAGUGACUCUGAUAUGGAUGCCGCAGAUAUGGGCUUUGACCUCCUUCCCUCUGCUCAGGCAGAGACGCCCGGAGGCGAUUCAGGGACUAGGCACCCCGCGGUUGCGGGGUCCGCCCUCGUGGAUCCGUUGGGUGUCCCACUCUUCGACCCGGAUGACUUACACCAUCUGAAGUCGGCGGAGUGGCUCCCGGCUGACCAUGU